CAGCAGCCGCGGUAAUACGAAGGGUGCAAGCGUUAAUCGGAUUUACUGGGCGUAAAGCGUGCGUAGGCGGCUUUUUAAGUCGGAUGUGAAAUCCCUGAGCUUAACUUAGGAAUUGCAUUCGAUACUGGGAAGCUAGAGUAUGGGAGAGGAUGGUAGAAUUCCAGGUGUAGCGGUGAAAUGCGUAGAGAUCUGGAGGAAUACCGAUGGCGAAGGCAGCCAUCUGGCCUAAUACUGACGCUGAGGUACGAAAGCAUGGGGAGCAAACAGGAUUAGAUACCCCCGUAGUCCCUGUCUCUUAUAC
rnacentral:rRNA from 1 species